ACAAAUAUAAGUAAACGAAGAAGGGUACGAACGACCACAGUUUUCUAUCUCUGAUCGAUUAUUAUUUUUGUUGCUGAAAAUAAUGGUUUCGUAUUUUUUUUUUCCUGGUAUAAAAGAUGGAUUUAGGCUAUGGGUCACGAUUUAUGGCUGAAAAUUUCUUACAUCUGUGUUGGAUGAUCUUCCUAUUUUAUUGUAUUAAUUUUGUUCUUCCUUUUUGUCUACUCUUUUUGUUUUUGUUUUGUUUUUUUUUUUUGUUUUUGUCAAUUGUUUUCUAUUUAUUCUCGAAAUGAGAAGGAGGGAGGCAAUAAGGCAAAUUCUAUUUAUUUAUUAUAUUGAAACUAUGAAACAUAACAAAAUUCACAUCGAAAUUAAGUGAUGUGGUAUGUUCAGCUCAGCUGCCAUAUAAGGUGGUAUAAAAUUAUAGAAUAACUUAUGCAGUCCAAAUGCAUGACAUUAAGUUUGUAGCACACAUGUGUCAUCCUUUUCCAAUACUCAGAAGACUUCCACUCAUCCCUUUUUUCCAUGGUAAAAAGGGGCCUAGGCUCCAAAACCAAUCUCCACCGAGGAAAACAUUGCAUGGCAAAAAGUGGGCUCCAUGAAAUUGGGCAAGCUCAAAGGCAAGACUUGCUUGGGCUGCUGCCUGAGCAAAAAAUCACUUGUAUUUCACUAAUCCAAACCGUUUAUUUUGUAGAUACUCAUUCAAAGAUCAUCUCUACAAAAAAUCACUUGAAUCCGAUAUCAUUUGAUUAUUCAAUUGAGUUCUUAAAAUUUUAGUACUUUCUUGAAGCACCGUGUUCAUUGAUUUUAUAGGACACAAUUGGAUAUCGAAACGGUUUCCGAUUUGUCUAAUUUUUUGUAAGGAUGAUCUAUGAAUGAAGACCUUAAAAAUAGAUUGUUUGGAUCGUUGAAAAAAAAUUCAUAGGGUACCCUAAAGGACGUUCCUCAAAUAAAAUUAUUUGAAAGAUCCCUUAAUAGAAGGGGACUAUAUAUAUGUAUCAAAACAUAAUAAUAUGUAUAUUAAUGUAUGUUAUAUAAAAGACUUAAAUUGUAAGAAUCUCAUUUUCAUGUAGUAACAGAUUUAGGAAAUUUUUUAGAAAAAAGGCAAUAUUUAAAUGACUAACGGGAAAGAAUAGGUUUCAUUGAGGCAAAGACUGGGUUUAGAGUGAAGCACCUUUAGGUGGAAAUCUUGGAAUGCCAUCAAAGUCAUAUAGGGAUAAGUUGGACAUUGACUAAAGAUAGAAAAUACAAGGGAUGAGUAACAAGGCUCCCUUGAAGCAUGCAAUUUAGUGACCAAUUUCAAAGGUAGGGAAGGUAAGAAACGAAUAGAAAAGUGAUCAAGAGACACAAUCAAAGUGGCAUUAACAAUUAGGCAAAACAAGAAAAUAAUAAAGCAACUGAUCUUUGUUCGAAAAAAAGGGAAAAAACCAUCAUCGAUUGACUUGUUCAAAAAAAGGAAUUAGGCAAACCAAGAACAUAAUAACGCAACUGAUCUUCGUUCAAAAAAAGGGAAAAAACCUUCAUUGUUUGACUUGUUCCCAAUGCCACUGAAUGAUAAACAUAUACAAACUUUCCCCAGUAUAUAUCUAUUAUUGUUAUAUAUAUAUAUAUAUAUAUAUAUAUAUAUAUAUUAACACAGUCUUUUUCACCUAUUUCUCUAUUUUUUUGGUGGACACAUCAGACUUCCUCCUUGCCCUUACAACCAUAUUUGUGAAUUUUUAAAAUUAUCUAAUUCUACAUAUAAUAUAUUAUCAAGUUUCAAUAGAGUUAAUUCACUUAAUUAAAGCUUGUUCAACUUUCUCUUAGUUUUCUCUUCACCUAUGGUUUGUUUGGGUUCGUGAAAUUUUUUAUUGUGUUCUCUUCACAUAUGGUUUGUUUAGGUUUGUGAAAUUUUGGAUUGUGUUUACUUUGGCAUCUCUCCACAUAUAUACUUUACUGACAGUAAAUUCUUCAUUAUCAUGUAUGUAAUGUGUGUGUAUAUAUAUAUACAAUUAUUCUCUUAUUUGCACGAUAUUAUUAUUGUGCGGAUGCUAUUAUAAAUAAGAAGGAAAGUAUAGAUGGAUAAUAAAAAAAUACAUGAUAUCUGCACGAUAUAAUAACAUCCGAACAUUCACAUAAGAGAAUUUCUGUAUAUAUUUUAUAUUUAUGUCUCUCUUUGAAUGUGUGUUUCCUUCUGUGUUGAUGUGUUUAUGAUGAUUGAGGAAUUGUGUAAAGGCAUCCCCUACGAGUUUAAAUAGAUGAGGGUAAAAAGUAUGAAAAAGUGUUUGGGUACGUACCAAGUUGAUGUAUCUUCAGAGGAUGGAAGACAAGCAAUGGAAUAUUAUUAUCGAUUGUGCAGUUAGAAUUUGAUUUAUUCAAUUUGAACACACACAUGACAUCCUUAGAAGUUAAUGGAUAUAGGAAAAAUUAUAUAUAAAAAAUGUACAUAUUUUCAACAAUUAAAAUUAAUUUAAAAUUGAAAAAGGAGAAGAAAAAAAGAAUGUCAUAUAUUCCUUGAUUCGGCCCCUCAACUUUAACCACACCGCCCAUCUCUCAACUUUAAGUAUCGUACCAGGGGUUGGUUGCUUCUUCCAUAUGAGGCAGUUGGGGUGAAUUAGACACACAGUCCAAUUUAGCAUCUAAUCAAAAUGACACAUCACUUUCUGUGUCCUUGUGAUCCCAUGUGAACAUCCCGCGAACAACGCAAGUCCCUUCAGCCAUAGAUUACAGUGACGCAUUCGACCAUUUGCCAACCUUCCAAGUCUCUAGAAAAUUAAAUUAUGUGCGUCUCUAGUCUCUAAAUUUAAAUCUGAGAUAUGUGAAACUCACAUAUGGGUUACGUAAGCAUAUUAACAUAUUUAGGGAAGUAAAGUCACAUCAUGAACUACUUGUGAUCACGUAUAUUAACUCUAGAAAAAUGCUUACUUCAUUUUUUAAAAUGUCAAUCACAGUUUGACAUGUGUGUAAAGAUUUUAUUUUAUUUUAUUUUUGUGUUUUUGAUGAAUUAUUUUUGCGUAUGUGCUAAACUGUGAUUUGCAAGAGAUAUGAAUGUCUCAUUCCCAGAAAAGAAGGAAGCAAUGUUAUUAACCUUAAGGACCGUAAAUAAUAUUAUUUAAAAAAAUACGCAAUCUGAUAGUUACAUCAAUUUCAGAGACGUUUUGUAAUAAAAAUACGAAGGACUUAGAAUGUUAUUGAUUGUGGUGUGUAACAUGUUUGGUGAAUAAAAUGACCUAAAGAAAGCUCAUUUAAAUGAUAGGUGCUGAAGAAUUCUCUAAUCAAUAUUGCCGCUUGAAGCUUUUCUUGCGAGUGACGUCGUGAUCUCACAAUACCAACCUUUCUCAGAAGUAAAUGUAAUUUAUUGUUUCAAUUGACUGAGGAAGGAGUUUGCUGAAUUCGUUAGUAGAUAUUAGAAAACAAAAAAGUUUUGAAAAGAGUCGCUGAUGGAUUUCAGUUUAUCUUUUUGGGUUUAGAAGUUUGUUAAUCCGUAAACAUGUGUUUUCAUGUUGCAGCAAGGAGUGGAAAGAACUUCUACAUUUGGAACCCCCUAAUUAGAGAAUCCAUAAGCCCUCCAAUACUCCCAAGAAAGAAUGGAAAUAGUUGGAAAAGGUGGAAAUAGUGGAAAGGAGUGUCACAGCAAGGCAGGCAUUGUGGUCAAUGACCAAGAAAGAAUGUCGAUCAAGUUAUGUCAUCCGUUUUUCGACACUAGAGUUGGGUGUCUCAUACAAGAGAGCCAGGAACAUGAGAUACAAAAGAGGGAUGAAGAUGAGAGACCAUUAAGGUUGGGUUUGUGGUCUUCUUUGAUUGUAUUUUGUUCUACACUUUAUAUGUUGUUUUCGUUGAGGAAUUUAUUGUUUCCUCUUAUAAUUGCAAUUUUAAUCAUUGGAUUCUUUUUGUUUAGAUGAUUUCUUAUGCGCUUGAUUACCUAAAUGUGCUUCAUUAGUUUGUUGGCUAAUAAAAUGUGUAAUUUAUCUAUACCUAGUAACCAUUUUCAUUUUCUCAAAAUGCACUGACCUCCAAGAAAGAAACCAAGAAGUUCAUCAAAUUUUCCAAUUCUGGUUAGUCCUCAUAAACUUUGUUGCAUGCAUAUUAAUUUUAAGGUAUGCUUGUCCUUGUAGUUCUUUUCCUUGAUAACAUUCUCAAAUAAAUCCCUAGUUUAUGUUCUUUUUUUCCUAUUUUUUUCUUCUCUAAUUUCCAUUCGACUGUAAUUAAAUUGGGAAGCCCAUAUGUGUAAAUAACAUGUUUGAAUUCUGAACUAGCUUUCAAUUUCUGGAUGUGUUUCUACAUAGGCAUGAUUCUUUUUUUUAGUUUCCAUUCGACUGCUAUACAGGAAAUUAAGAUGUAAAUAAGAAGUUUGAAUUUUUGCCUCACUAUCAUAUUCUUAGUAUGUUUCUACAAAGACAUGACACUAUUCCAUUGAUUUUUACUUAAUUUUAUGUAUGUGUAGUCCUUUGAUGUAGAACAAAUCAUGGGUUUGUUCCUACGAAAGAAAUAUGGAAAAAGGAGAAAAUUCAAAAUCAGAAAAUUGGGCUUCAAAUAUGGAAAAUCAUGCUUGAGCAUCAAUUAUGGUGCUAGGAAAAGAAAGAAAGAAAGACCUACUACGUUUGGAACCCCCUAAUUGAAGAACCCAUAAGCCUCCAGUACUCCCAAGUCACUAUAAGCCACAAUCCGUUGGAUUCGAGUUUGGUAAUAUUUUGAAAUUGUAUAAACUACUCCUCAUUAUGUCCAUAAAGAAGCUCCUUAUUAUUUUCAGGUUUGGAGUGGAUACAGAAUGGAGAAAAGUGGUGAGUGAAAAUAAUGGUGAAGCGGAAGGAUAAACAAUUCGGGGUUUACCUUAAUAGUCAACUUCAUUGGAUUGGAACAACAGGUGGACACAACAUAGAUGUGAUUUGUACCUUUAAUCUGCGCUAUGAAUUACAUGAAGAGUCACACAAGUACGUGGCGUGAUUUUCUUCUGGCGGUUUUGAAUCCUCAUACAAAACCAAUUAGCAGCUUCAAUUUACAAGAAAUUUGUACAAAUAUUGAAGUAUAUUUAUGUAAUGAACAAUAUUUAUGAUAUAAUGAACAGAUGAGUUCACUAGGCUCAAGUUCCUUAGCGGUGUCGUCUAUUUGUUCGUUCAGCUCUCUUCAUUAUGUUUGACGAGUGAUAGGUUUCUCAUCCUAUAAUGAAGGGAACUGAACAAGAAAAUGGAAGACAUCGUUGGAGGAUCCUCAUCCUAUGCAAGGAAUGUGCUUAGAUUUUAUACAAGUUUAAAUCUCAAUGUCGAUGCAGACAUUCUUAUUUCAUUAGUGGACCAAGAUGAGAUGAGUAUAAUUCGUAAAAAGAAUUUUGAGGUGAGAUUUGGAACAAAAAUAGAGAAAGUGCCAAAGUUUCAUUUACUGUACAUGCAAGAUGAAAAGUCUAAACAAAAUGUAGUAAAAGAUAGCUAAUUCAUCGAGAAAUUUUCCAUAACUUGUUUGGCUUUUAUUUUAUUAGAAAAAUUAUCAAGUUCUUAUUUUAUGUUCUUACUUUUGAUGCCUCGGGACGUAACAGCCACCCGUAUCUGGGAUUUCAAGCCUAUCAUGACGUUAAGAAUUUCAUCCACUCUGGGGUUAAUUAUUUUCCUUCUUUAAUAAAGUAUUUAGCUAUAUAUUUCUAAAAAACUAAAAAAUAUUUAGCUAAAUGAACUAUAUUGAUAAUUAACCAUGGUGGAAAGUUUUGCAGCACUUUUCGGCAGCAACAAAGAGAAGAAACUUUUACUUCUAUUCGGACGGCCGGAGUACGUCACUGACACUGAGGGAUUUUGCAUCAUUCCCCGUUGCAAAAUUCAAUUUCUGUAAUUCAUUUGUAGUCUAUAAAGCAAUCAUACUAUUUAUUUUUAAAAAAUUUAAAUAACUCUAACGUUUUAUCUUCCUUAAUUACAGUGGGCAUAACGUUGGCACAUGAGAUAAUGCAUGCAUGGUUGAGGCUUCAAGGUAUGAAUAUGGAUUUAGGCUUUAUUAUUCACUACAAAUAAUUUGCAUGAAAAAAAUAAUAAGUUUUAAACUUAUGCCUACCCUCAAGAGUGCUUUAAAUUUUUGUUGGUCUAAUAGGUUUUUGUAUAAUAUUGUAUGAAACUCUCUAUUUCUGUGUUCUUAUUUUUCCUCAAUAAUGAGUUCUUUUUGUAGGUAUAAUUGGUGAUAGGAAACCGGAAAGAUUGGUAGAAGAAGGUAUUUCUCAAGUAAUGUCAUACAUGUACCGGAAAUGGUUUUGUUCUAGAGGUUUUAAGUACUCCUCAUUCAACAAAAUCAAUGAGCAACUUUAGUUUACAAAAGAUUUGAAUAAAUGUUUUGCAAAUCUUACGAAAAUUGAUUCAGAUGAAGCUUAUCGUGAAGGGUUUAAGCAAAAUAUGCAUGCUGUGAAAGAAAAUGACUUCAAAAAGACAUUGGAUUGCAUCGUUUAAAAAAGACGUUUGGUACCUAAGAUGGAAGAAGAUGAAGAUAAUUGUAAAGAUGCAAAAGGAAGUCUCACACUACACAAAAAUAACGCGGCACGCCGGCACCACGAGGGCUACGGUGGGCUAUAGCCUAAUGAGGUCUUUGGGUUAAAAAUAAAAAUAAAACCUAUAUAUUUGCCUUCUUUUAAUAUUGUCCAGAUAUUAUAUAUUAAGAGAUGGCAAUGUUAAUUUUAAAUCGGUGUUAGUAAUUUCUUCCUUAGCUAAAGCGUGCUUGGUAUGUUCCUUGGAAUUAAUUAACUUAAUAUUACAAUUUCUCCUUUGAUAUGACAUUUUUGUAAUUAACAAUGUCUAUGACCAUUUUUGUAAUUAAAUCAGACCCCAGCAAAAGAAAACAGAUAAUAUAUCACAGGGUUACAGAAAAUUACAUUUUUCAUAUCACAUGUAUAAGACUGAUAAGCUAUAUAUGGUGGGCUUGGGUAGAUGUGGUUGCUGAUGAUGAACACAAUCUUCUUCUUCUUGGCGUCUGGUGCUUUAGGCUUCUGGUUGGUUUUGAAAACAGAACAGAAAAACCUGGUUGGUUUGAGCCUUCUUUGAGAGUUAAAUAAUCGAACAAAGAAGUGGGAUAUAUCUGGAAAAAAAGAAAAAAGAAAAAAGAAUCAGAUUCUGUGGAAGCCAUUAACAAGAAUGCAUGAAAGAAAGUGACUAAGCUGAAGGAGAUGCCAGGAAAGUAUUUGACAAGAUGAACCCUUGUUUACUCGGUAAGUCACGGUGCAAACAAUUUGUUUUGUAUAUUUCGGUUAACGGGUGAAUUUGUACUAAAGAAAUUAAGGCAUAAUCACACACAUAACACAGGUGUUUGAGUGAUUCACCCAUAAUGGGGCUACAUCCACUAUAGUUUAUGGCUUUGUAUUUGUAUUUGAAUAGGAGAUUACAUUGUACAUAAGAGAGAUAUGGGGAGAAAGACUUGAGAGCUCUAGUAGAAGAGAAAUAGGGAGCUUGAGAUAGCUUUGGACAGCUCUUGGAGAUGGGAAUGGUCCCAUGAAACAACUUGAUUUCCAAAAUAACGCGGCACGCCGGCACCACGAGGGCUACGGUGGGCUAUAGCCUAAUGAGGUCUUUGGGUUAAAAAUAAAAAUAAAACCUAUAUAUUUGCCUUCUUUUAAUAUUGUCCAGAUAUUAUAUAUUAAGAGAUGGCAAUGUUAAUUUUAAAUCGGUGUUAGUAAUUUCUUCCUUAGCUAAAGCGUGCUUGGUAUGUUCCUUGGAAUUAAUUAACUUAAUAUUACAAUUUCUCCUUUGAUAUGACAUUUUUGUAAUUAACCCUAAACCCUAAACCCUAAACCCUUUUAAUUUCCCUGGAAACAACUUGAGCCUUGAACUAAAUAACAGAACCUUUUGCCCUGGCUGAAAUUCCUUCCGUAAAAUUUGACUGUCAUGAAAUGCCUUAGUUCUUUCCUUGUAGAUGCGAGAACUAUCAUAAGCACCUUGACGAAUUUCCUCUAGCUCAUUUAACUGCAAUUUCCGCUUUUCCCCAGCUGAGUCAUAUGCAAAAUUUAACUCUUUAAUGGCCCAGUAAGCUUUAUGCUCCAGCUCCAUAGGUAGAUGACAGGCUUUCCCAUAAACAAGUCGGAAUGGUGACAUCCCAAUAGGAGUUUUAUAAGCUGUCCUGUAUGCCCACAAAGCAUCAUUUAGUUUGAAACUCCAAUCCUUGCGUGUAGAGCUCACUGUUUUCUCCAAAAUACGCUUUAUUUCUCUGUUUGAAACUUCAACUUGGCCAGAUGUCUGUGGGUGGUAUGGUGUAGCCACGCGAUGAUGAAUCCCAUAUUUUGCCAAUAGGUUAGCAAAUGGUUUAUUAAUAAAAUGCUUCCCCCCAUCACUAAGAAUAACACGCGGUAUUCCAAAACGUGGAAAUAUAACCCCCUGGAGGAACUUCAGGACCACUGAUCCUUGAUUAGUUGGUGCUGCAAUGGCCUCGACCCAUUUUGAAACAUAUUCCACAGCCACUAAAAUAUAUUGGUGCCCAUUAGAAGAUGGGAAUGGUCCCAUGAAAUCAAUACCCCAAACAUCAAAUAGUUCAACAAUUAGGAUACUUUGCUGGGGCAUCUCAUUCCUUCUGGAUUGAUUGCCGACCCUUUGACACCUAUCACAUGCCUUGCACCAAUUCCGUGAAUCUCUAAAAAGUGUUGGCCAAAAUAACCCACUCUGUAGGAUUUUCUCUGCUGUCCUUUUCUGCCCAAAAUGUCCUCCACAAGCGUAGUGAUGAGCAAACUUUAAAACACUUUCCUGUUCAACCUCCGGAAUACACCUGCGAAUAAUCUGGUCUGCACAAUACUUGUAUAAGUACGGUUCAUCCCAGAAAUAGUGCUUUACAUCAAAUAAAAACUUCUUUUUCUGCUGGUAGGAAAAAUCUGGAUGCACCACACCCUUAGCCAAAUAAUUGACAAUAUCUGCAAACCAAGGUGUGUCAAUUUUGACAGCAAAUAGCUGUUCAUCUGGGAAACUUUCACUCAAUGGUAGAGAAUCUGCCUCUGUAGCUGCUGGAAUAAUUAAUCUAGAUAAAUGAUCAGCCACAACAUUCUCACUGCCCUUCUUGUCUUUAAUCUCUAAGUCAAAUUCUUGAAGUAAGAGAACCCAACGAAUCAAUCUAGGCUUUGCAUCCUUCUUAGACAACAAGUAUUUAAGUGCAGCAUGAUCUGUAUAGACAAUUAUUUUAGCCCCAACCAAAUAAGACCGAAAUUUCUCUAGUGCGAACACAACUGCCAACAAUUCCUUCUCUGUAGUUGCAUAGUUAAGCUGUGCAUCAUUGAGAGUACGACUUGCAUAAUAGAUGACAUGGGGAAGCUUAUCUUUUCGCUGUCCUAAAACUGCCCCGACAGCAUAAUCUGACGCAUCACACAUUAGUUCAAAUGGUAAAUCCCAAUUUGGUGCAGCAAUGAUGGGUGCCGAAGUUAGGAGGGCUUUCAACUUGUUGAAUGCUUCUAAACAGGCCUUAUCAAAAUUAAAUGGUGCAUCCUUAGCCAAUAAAGUGCACAAAGGUCGACUAAUCUUGGAGAAAUCCUUGAUGAACCGACGAUAAAAACCUGCGUGUCCUAAGAAGGAUCUCACACCUUUUACUGAUGUAGGAGGUGGCAGCUUUGCAAUAACUUCAAUCUUUGCCUUGUCAACCUCGAUGCCUUUGCUAGAAAUUGAAUGACCCAAGACAAUUCCUUGUUCAACCAUGAAAUGACACUUUUCCCAGUUUAGCACUAAAUUCGUCGCUUGACAUCUCUGAAGAACUAAUGAUAAAUUCUGUAAGCACUGAUCAUAUGAAUCCCCAAAAACAGAAAAAUCAUCCAUAAAAACUUCCACAAUAUUUUCGACCAAGCCAGAAAAAAUACUCAUCAUACAACGUUGAAACGUAGCAGGUGCAUUGCAUAAUCCGAAUGGCAUCCUCCGAUAAGCAUAAGUACCGAAUGGACAAGUGAAAGUAGUCUUCUCUUGAUCCUCUGGUGCGAUUGGAAUCUGAUUAUACCCAGAAUACCCAUCAAGAAAACAGUAAAAAGCCCGACCAGCCAACCUUUCUAACAUCUGGUCAAUAAAAGGCAAUGGAAAAUGGUCUUUUCUCGUCCCUGCGUUAAGCUUCCGGUAAUCUACACACAUUCUCCAACCCGUAGUCAAUCGUGUAGGAACUAACUCAUUAUUAUCAUUUUUCACCACUGUAAUACCGGUUCGUUUAGGCACAACUUGAGUCGGGCUAACCCAUUUACUGUCAGAAAUAGGAUAAAUCAUACCUGCAUCAAGUAAUUUCAUAACCUCUGUUCUGACCACCUCUUUCAUAAUUGGGUUAAGGCGGCGUUGAGCAUCAACUGUUGGCUUUACGUCGUCUUCCAUUAAUAUUCUGUGCAUACAUAGUGCUGGGCUGAUUCCCUUGAUGUCCGCAAUUGUCCAUCCCAAUGCAUCUUGAUAUUUUCUCAAUACACGAAGCAAUUUAUCCUCCUCUGUCGGUGUUAAAUCUGCUGCAAUUAUAACUGGCAGCGUCUCUGCAGCUCCUAAAUAUGCAUAUUUAAGAUGUUGUGGUAAAGGCUUCAGCUCCAAUUUUGGUGGCUGUUGUCUGGAUGGUUUAAGGGGCUGUUUGGGCUCUCCUAAACUCUCAUACACAUUCCUAAAUUUUGGCAACACUGUGGGCAGACUGUUCAAUGCGUGUAUGUACUCAUGAACACCUUCAUCUUCGGAAUCUGUCUCAAGUUCCCCCUGUAAAACAUGCAGCAACUGAUCUGUUUUUGAAUUAGCACAAAAUCUGUCAUGCACCAUACUGUCUACCAUGUCAAUACGCAUACAAUCCUGCUGUUCAGCAGGACGUUUUGCUGCCUCAAACAAAUUAAACACCACAGAUUGGUCUUGAACCCGUAAAGUCAAUGUUCCAGCUUCCACAUCAAUUAAGGUCCUAGCUGUUGCCAUAAACGGCCUCCCUAAAAUAAUAGGUGUUUGAAGGUCUUCAUCCAUGUCUAAAACCACAAAAUCUGCCGGUAGAUAAAGAUCAUCAACCUUAAUAAUUAGAUCUUCAAUAACACCUCUUGGAUAAGUGAUUGAACGGUCAGCUAGUUGAAGUAUAAUUGAUGUAGGCUUUAAAUCUCCUUGCCCCAAUCGCUGAAAAACAGAAAAAGGCAUCAAAUUAAUACUUGCACCCAAAUCAAUUAAAGCACUUUUAAAAUUAGAAUUUCCAAUAGUGCAAGAAAUAUUAAAACUCCCUGGAUCUUUUUUCUUAGGUGGUAGUUUGUGUAGCAAAACUGCACUGCACUGUUCUGUCAAAAUAACUUUUUCCAAAUCUGAAAGCUUCUUUUUGCUGCUGCAAACUUCCUUCAAAAAUUUGGCAUAUGAUGGAAUUUUCUUGAUUGCAUCCAGUAAGGGAAUGUUGAUUUGAACCUUGGAUAAUGUCUGCAUAAAGUCCUUAAGUUGCUGAUCUUUUGCUUUAGGCUUCAAACGUUCUGGAUAUGGAAUUGGGGCCUCAUAAACACGCUCAGGAACUUGUUUUGGAACAGUUUCUAGAUCUGCCGAAUUAUGUUUUUCUGCAGGUUUGGCAGGUUCUGCUGCUGCAAAAUUUUCUGUAUUAUCUUCCACUAUUUGCUGCUCCUUUUCAAUGCUAUUUUCACGAUUGUCAUAGCUUUUUCCACAUCGUAAAGUCCGAACAACUUUGCAAUCUUCACGUCCAUUUGGAUUAGGAAUUGUUUGACUAGGAAAUUUGCCCUUUUCUCUGUUUGAAAUCUGUGUAGCUAGCUGUCCAAAUUGUUGCUCCAAACUUUUAAUUGAUGCUUCAACAUUUUGAAAUCUUUGAUUGUUGCCCUCGAUGAAUGAUUGAGUUGUUGCUGCCAGUUUAGCAAGUUGAUCUUCCAGAGAUGGUUUGGAGGGAACAAAAGGUUUUUGUGCAUGCUGGAAUGGUUUGGCAUUAGUCUGAUUGUCACCCCAUUUGAAAUUAGGGUGAUCCCUCCAUCCAGGAUUGUAAUGAGUUUCAUAUGCAUCAUUCCUAGGCCUUUGAUAGCUGUUCAUCAUAUUGACAUGUUGUUCAACAAGCUCUGGGUAAGAGUCUCUAUGUGGGCAGCCCAUUAUGUCAUGUGUAGCCAUACUGCAUAUAGUGCAAACUGUUGAUGUAGGUGGCUGCUGUGUAGAACCUGCUAUAUGUUGUAGAAGCAUAUCAAACUUUGCAUCAAUUUUCUUAUCCAUUUUUUCCAUUUGUGCAGACAUGUUGGGAGAACCUACUGAUAACUCAAAAAUGCCCCUUUUCUGUGAAUGUUCUGCUGCCCAUUGCUGAGAUUCUGUAGCCAUCAUAUCAAACAGUUCAAAUGCCUCUCUUGCAGAUUUAUUUGAUAAUGAUCCUCCAGCUGAUGCAUUCACAUGGCUCUUAGAUGUAGGAUUAAGCCCAUCAAAGAAAAUAUUCAUUUGUGUAUUUGAAUCAAUUUUGACAUGUGGACACUUUAUGUACAUCUCUGUAUAUCUCUCCCACGCUUCAUGAAACUCUUCAUUGGGCUUCUGUGUGAAUGUCAAAAUCUCCCUUUUGUAAUUCAAUGUCUUGGAUGCUGGAUAAUAUUUGUUCAGGAAUUUUGUGUGUAACUGCUGCCAAGUAGUAAUGCUAUUAGCUGGUAGAGUGAAUAACCAAGUUUCUGCCUUGUCCUUCAAAGUGAAAGGGAAAAGACGUAACUUAAUAGCCUCAGCAGAAAAACCCCUAAUCAAAAUAUUCUUGCAACCCACAAUAAAUUUUGCAAUAUGUAUGUUUGCAUCUUCAUUAGGCAAUCCCCGAAAAGUAGGUAGAAUUUCAAGCAUAUGGUGCCUGAUCUCGAACGAAUCACCCUCUUCUUGUUCAGGAUACACAAUGCAAUUGGGAACAUCAGUGGCACGGGCUUCCAAUGACUCCCUGAGUGGUCUACCUGCCGUAGGUAAUUCUAACGCCAUGUUACUCUCGUUUGCAAACAAAUUCUGCAAAAAAGUGCCCUGCAGUGAACAGUCCCAAGCCCAAAUAACUUCUCUUCGCUGUCUAUGCAGUGUGCGCUCUGGUUCUGGAUCAAAUUGUACAAUCUGUGCAGUUCCUGAUCUGGUCUGGACCAUGCAGUCUGCAAAAUCUGCAACAGAAACAAAAUUGUUCAAUUUCAAUUUUGUAUUUUAUUUUUUAUUUUGGACGAAAAUUAAAAAGUAAAAUAAAAUAAAAUAAAAUAAAUCAGAAAAAGGUUAAACAAAAAUUGUCUAAAAUAGUCCCCGGCAGCGGCGCCAAUUUCUUGAUAGGAUUUUUAGUACUUGUGCAAACAGUGUUAAAAAUCACAUAAAAUACUUGCAAGAAUACAAGGCUAUUGUAGUAUAGAUGCUCAUGCAAGGUCGUUUUCCUCAAGGACUAAUUAGCAAUUUAUGUAAAAACAAAUUCCAAUUACUACUUAAAAUAAAAAGUCAAGAAAGAUGAUUAUAAAUUUGGUGGAUUCUAAAAAACAAAUAUUAAACAAAAACAAAUACGAUUGAGAGAAAGAGUUUUGAAUAUCAAUUUAUAAAAACACUAGGGUUUCACCAUCACCUAGCAAUCCUAUGAACUUUUACCAAUUACUUAUGAUUUGCACAUGCCACUUUGAAGGUUAGGUUUUCCUAAUGUAUAUUCUACUUGGAACCUCCAACACAGAACGUAUAUCCAACAUGCAACCCGUCCGGACGUUCGGAUCAAAUCUGAACAUGAAAGACUCAUUAAGUUUUGUGAAAACCCUUUGAAAAACCAUGCAACCCUUAAGACGUGGUGUUCAUCUUAAGUGAAAUUACAAUUAUUAAUCACAAGAAGCUAGCAUCAAUUUCAGGGAACCUUCCGACCAAAAUUGCAUCCAAUUACUUUUCUAAAGAUCCUAAUGGUGAUCAGGCAUUAAGACAAUUAGAUAGUUUAAAACAGUGAUUAACAAUUCAAAAUACGCAUGCACUCAUCAUAAGCAAUUAAAUAAAAAUCACAUAUUCAUGCUAAGGUUCAAGGCUUCACCCUAGCAAAAGAAAUUUAGUUACGCAUACUCAUAAUUGAAAUCCAAGAAAAUAUCAUUAAGAAGAAAAGAACGAAAACACCUGAAAGUUGUGAAAACCCAAAACCCUAGCAAUUGCUCUCCACAAUGCAAAGUUCAAAAGUGAAAAGGGAGUCCUUCAAUUCCUCGUGAGAAAGAGCUUAAAUACCCCUUAAAACCUAGCUGCCAAUGUACAGCUUUUCUAUCCCCACAAGGAAACUAAUUAAAGUAAAAUAAUACUAGGAAAUAAAGUCCAAAUUGGAAUAGGAGAAUUUGCCUAAAAUCUGCCCAGCCACGUUUUGGCCCCAAAUCUCCUCCAAAUCUGGCCCAAGAUAGCUUGUUUUAAAGAUAAAAAUGUUCUGAACACUUCUCUAGAAGGCCACGAACCCAUUCGAGGUCAUCUUGGGCUUCAAAAACGCAAUAAAAGCCCAACACGUCACUAUUCCAGCACCGCGCACUGCUCAUUUAUUUUAUUGCCCGAAAAUAACCGCUUGGAAGAAAGAUCUGAAAUUUUGAUACGAUCAAGCUAAGUGACUCAAGAACGUCCUCCAACUGGAAUUACUCCAAAAUUCCUCAAUUUGAUUAUGUUUUGCUCCAGAGAGAGUCGAAAGUCCUAUAUUGAAAAUAUAAUUCAAAGUAUCAAAAUUCUUCCAAAAUAUUAACCAAAAUAUACUAAGAAUGAGGUUAAUAUAUAAUAUAAAAUAUGUCCAUCAUAGUCCAAGUAGUGGUAGGGAACGCAUGACUCUCCUUGAUUUGGGGAUUCUACAUGGCCUCCCCCUGCUUUGGGGGGCGUGGACAUUGAGAAGGCAUGGGAGGGGGCAUGGCUAGCUACUCCUCUUUUGGUAGGAUGUGAGGUAUGACUGAUAACAAUAUUAGUUAGUUUAUAUUCAGUUAAAUUGUCACGUGUGUGCUUACGUAUUGUUAGUUAGUAUUAACUGUAAUUAGUUAGACUGUUAAGUUUUAAUUAUUGAGAUAUUAAACAUUGAUGACACUACGAUUGUAAAUAUUUUUGUGAAAUCAGUAUACAGAUAAGGGCGGAAUUAGGAAUUUUUUAAUGGAUGGGCUAGCUAAAGUUAUUAGCUUAAAAUUUAAUGAUUAUUUUUUUUGGUACUUAAAAUUUCUAUAGUCUUUGUGGAAAUAAAAGUAAACAUUAAAUCAUAUAAACCAAGCUAGUUCAUAGCUCCAUAGAUUAAUUUUCAAUAAGUUUUAACAUAAACCAAAUAUGGUUUAACACCAUAGUGGAUUGAAUAUCUAAGGCUUUUUACCUCAAUUGACCUCAGGUUCCUUUAUGCAUUCAUAUCAUACAUGAAAAAUUGGUUUAUGUAAAAAUAUUGAUUAAGUAUGAAAAAUGGGUUUUCAGAAUAAUCAUUUUCUCAAGAUAAUUUUUUGCGGCUUUUAUUCCUCACACAUCAAAUAAGAAAACUUGAUUUUAUGGGAUUUUAAUAUGAAGUAUAUAUUGACUUAAUGAGCCAUCAUUUUUAGCGUAAAUAGUAUUUUGCACUAAAAUCGAUUUUUCAUAUUUUGAUUUGGUGGGAAUUUGAUUUUCUAGUAUUUUUAUUUGAAUCCAAAUGGGGAGUACUUCCUUAUUUACAUUGUAAACUUAAGUAAAUGGAGUAAUAUAAAAAUAAAUAAAAUUAAAAUGACAAAGACAAGCUUAGUAUGGUUCCGCCCUUGUAUACGGAGCAUAUCAUUUUCUUUUGAAUCUUCUUCUUCUUUCUUAGCUUUCUUAAUUCUUAAGCUUCUUCUUCUAAACUGUUAACAAUAACAAGCAAGGGUUAUCCCUUAACUGGUGGGAUUUGUUUAAGGAGAAAGGUGAGGUCAACAUGGUGUCAACAAUUUCUUUCUUGAGGAAAUAUAUAUAGAUAUAGGAAUUUGGUCCCAGUAUAUCUAUAUAUAUAGAUUGUCAAUCACAGUUUUGUCAUUCACAUGAACACGGAACUAGCAAUAUUUUCACACAAGAUCAUUUUGGAAUGUGGUCCUUGUAUAAUGUUCAUUCCUCAGUUAGUUAAGCAGAGAUUUCAGUGGCUUUGACAUCGGCUGUUUUCAUCAAGUGGGCACAAGAGCAAACAAAAACUCACACACCACAGAAAGCAACAAACGAGUAAUCCCACUAAAAUCAAAGAUGCAGACUUUGCCGAGGUUUUUCCUAAAAGAAAGAAAAAGAAAAUGAAGGCCAGGGCAGGGGCAGUCAACAGAGAAAGCGACUAAUGAGAGUGAGGCUCUUCGAAAUCAAAUGGGUAUGUGCAGAGGCCAUCAUGACAGGGAAUAUUCGACGAGGAAGAUGGAGGCCUUUCCGAUUUUCUUGAAGCUUCGUGUAAAUAUGUCGUAACCUGAGAAAGAGAAGGUGCUAAAUUAUAAUUGUAAGUAUGUGCAUUACAAAUGGGUUUGGUGUGUAAUGGUAGGUACGUGCUUAAUUGCUCUUCUUUGUUGGUGGUUGUGUUUGGUGUCUUAGGCCUUCGACCCAACUCUAAGAGCACUUCUACCCGUGUAGGUCAUCCUCCAAAAACCAAUUCUAGUGGUGAAGGUCAGUUCGGGCAAGAAAUGGGCUCCAUCAACCUGGGUUAUUGCUUGGGUUUGUUGAUGUCAGCAUGAUAUUAGAGACCAAUUAAAAUAUCCAAAAAAAUUAUAAAAAUAUCAAAUAAUUUUUUAAAAAUACCAAAAAAUUCAGAAUUUUUUAUUAUUUAUAAAUACCUAGCCAUGUUCUUCACUUCCCACACCAAAACUUCAUACAAAUUUCUCUCCUCAUAUCUCAUGUGAAUAGUGUUUGCAAAAUAAAAACAGGUAGGGCAGUCACUAUUCACAUAAAUAGUGUCUACCCAUACUUGCCCUUACCCUUUGUUGUGGCACCAUGAGUAAAAGUACUCUAAACUUAAGCCUAGAAGCAAUGAGACAACCCUUAACUCUAUCCACCAAGCUAAGCUGGUACCCGAUAAUUAAAGUGCUUAUGUCAACGAGGUCUAGCUAAAUAUAAAAAAGAUCUUGACGUGCAAACCAGUGAUCUCAUAUUAUUAUUAUUUUUUGAAAAAAAACUCGGGAUUUUGUUUUAAAGGAAAACAUAAUUUUAUCAAGUUAAGAGGCUUUUACCCUUUUCUGCCUCUCUAACAUGAGUGACGGUGAGCAAGCCAAUGCGGAUUAGCAAAUUAAUAUUUCAAUGUACCAUCCAUCCAUGCAUAUUGCAUGCCAUGGAUAUUGGGGGUGGGACCCUCUGAACAUCAUCCCUAGGGAAAGAAGAUGGAAAUUUAAGUUAUAAAAAGUGUUUCCUAGGCACUAACUAAUUGGUGACUAAUGACCAAUUGGUUAUAGUUUACGAUGUGACACUGAUUUGGUAAUAAUAUGGGAUUUUCUUUUGAAUAAUAUAAAGACCAAACCGAUUCAUGAAUCUGCUGCCAGGAAGAUCGGAUUGGAACCCCUGGAAAUAGUAAAAGUAAUAUUUAUUUAUUGUAAAGCAAUUUGUGAUGGAUGGAAGGUCAUGGUUUUCAACAACAUAUCCAUAUUUUCAUUUGGUGGCUAAGCAUCUCUAAGUAUUUUGGGGUUCAAACUUUUCUGUCUAGUCUUUAAGACUUGAAUUGAAGCCUUACUAUUUCCAGUUGUAAAAUGGUGGUCUUCGCCAAUUCCACAACUUUUUCAUCAACUUUUGUAAUGAACUUCCUAGGCUAUUCCUCUAGGGCGCUAAUUAAGUAGAAAAAUUUGUGUGAAAAAAUUACCAUAUGGCAUACCGAAAUUGGCCAAUGAUAAUUCGACAUUAGCAGCGGAGUUCCCUGUUUUGUUCAUUUUGAUUUUUUUGAUAAGAUUUUGUUCAUUUUGAUGGUGUCCCAAGUUCACUCCAAUUUAUAGCUUAUUAGCUUACCAAUUUUGCAUAUCAUAUCAACUUUAAUACUAAAUCAGGAAAAAAAGAAACCAUGAGUUUUUUGGCCGAUCCAUAAUAAAUAAAUAUGAAAGAGCGACCCAACCCAACCCGCAAACAAACCCCACAAAUACACAUCUGCAAAAUACGUAUACAUAAACAGUAACAAAGAUACAAAAUUCUGCUUUUCAAGCUCACAGAGAGAGAGAGAGAGAGAGAGAGAGAGAGAGAGAGAGAGAGAGAGAGAGAGAGAGAGAGAGAGAGAGAGAGAGAUUCAGAUAGAAAAAGAAAACCCAGCAUUCUAUGAAAGCCAUGAAAAGUUUACAUCAACAUCACCAUGAAAUUAGCAUAUUCACAUAUGCCAUCCCAUCAGAACAAAACUCUGCUUUUCAAGCUCAGAGCUUAUCUGGAUUUCUUUGCGAAAAGGGGGGUUAUUAUGAAACUCCGGAUUAAUCAUAAGCUGCUAUGAAUCUAAUGAAAAGCACUGAGAGAGAGAGCAAAGAAAACCCAGAAUUCUAUAAUAAUAAAAAGCUAUGAAAAGUUUACAUCAAUCAAAAUCACCAAGAAAUUAGCAGAAGCAGAUAAGCAACGGCAUGGCUGUGUGUACUAAAAAUAGUAAAACACCAGCUCUUCUAUCCAUAAGCAUAUAUGCUAUGGUAAUGCUGGUGGGCAUGGGUAAACGUGGCUGCUGAUGAUGACCUUGUUGGCGUUUGAUGAUGUGGUGGUUUCAGAGACUCCAGCAGAAGCUGAAGGACUAUUAGUAUCAUCGGAAACAGAGCAAAAGCAUUGGACAAUUUGAUCAAAUAUCAUCCUCUUCACUAACCUCUUCUUCACUGGGAAGACACUCCCAGCUUUUGGUUUGAACAAACAUGGCUCAGCCUUGCUUUGAUCUUGAGAUGAGCUCAACUUCAGCUUCAUGGGCUCCUUUGGGUGGUGCUCUGUUUUGGGGCAGAGGAGGUCAUCUUCCCCAUCUGGCUUCAAGCACUUCCUUGCAUCUGAAGUUUCCUUCAUUGCCAUGUAUGUAAUCUCUCUCUCUCUCUCUCUCUCUCUCUCUCUCUCUAAGUGUGUGCUACUUCCUUUCCUCUGUGGUUAUGAGGAAUUGUGUGAAGCCGUGCCCUACGAGUUUAAUAUAUGAGGAAAUUAAGCUUCGAUUGUAGGCCCUACCUAGUACCUUACAUAUUCCAUUGCGUCACCUUGUCAUCAGCAGCAGGGUACGUGUGGGGACCUGCUGCUGAGUAGAGGAGGAUAUGGUGAUUGAUGAAGAUGGUUAUCACUGAGGAAGGACUUUGCUUUAAUUCGUUAUCUCCUAAUCUUGGAAAUUAGAAAGAAAACAGAAAAAUCUUCAAUUCCAUGUGACAAAGAAGAGGAAAAGGCAUUUCACAUGGGAAAAAAGAGCUGAAAUGACCUGUGGCAGGAGUAAUUAUUUGUACGGUUGCACAGUGAAUCUUAGAUGGAUUAGCUUAGCCUGGUUUUGUAGUCUGCCACUUUCGAUAGACAUAUAUGCAGAUCUCUGGUAUAUAUCUCUGUUUUGUUCAUUUUGAUGGUGGCUCAAGCUUUACUCUAAGAUUAUAACACACUGUCUAGCUGAUUAGCUUACCAAUUUUUUUAACAUCAUAUCAAAAGAAACCAUAUGUUUUUUGGCCGGUCCAUAAAUGAAACAUAUGAAAAAGCAACCCAACCCACAAACCCACACAUACACAUCUGAAAAAUACACACAUAGUACACAGUAACAAAGAUACGCAUAUUCACAUAUGUCAUCCAUCACAACAAAACUCUACUUUUCAAGCUCAGAGAGAGAUGAAAGAAAACGCAGAAUUCUAUGAAAACCAUGAAAAGAUUACAUCAACAUCACCAGGAAAUUAGCAGAGCAGAAACAGAAAAUCAUUCCAUAUCUAUGGUGGUGGGCUUGGGUAAACGUGGUUGCUGAUGACCUUGUUGGCGUUUGAUGAUGUGGUGGUUUCAGAGGCUCCAGCAGCAGAAGCUGAAGGACAAUCUGAAACAGAGCAAAAGCUUUGGACAAUUUGAUCAAACAUCAUCCUCUUCACUAACCUCUUCUUCACAGGGAAGACACUGCCAGGUUUUGGUUUGAACAACCAUGGCUCAGCCUUGGUUUGAUCUUGAGAUGGGCUCAAAUUCAGCUUCAUGGGCUCCUUUGGAUUGUGCUCUGUUUUUGGGCAGAGGAGGUCUUCUUCCCCAUCUGGCUUCAAGUACUUCAGCGCCUUCCUUUCAUCUGAAGAUUUCUUCAUUGCCAUCUCUUCUCUGUUGAUUGAGGAAUCGUGGGAAGCUCCCUGAUAGUUUAAAUAGAUUAGAAAUGUUUCCAUUGUGGCCCCUGCGUCAAUUCACAACGUGUGGUGGUGGGGGUGGUUGGGGGCGAGUGAUGUUGACUACGAAAGAGUUUUCUUACUUCUGUAUCUCUCUGUCCUUUUUUUUUUUCUCUGGACAAACCCGUUGUUCCAAUCACUAGAGGGGCGGACAUGCAGCUUCAAUACAUUUACAUCAAGAUCUUUUGUAAUCUUGAAUUUAUGGCAAGAAGAAGAGGCUGUUCAUUUUUCUCAUUCGUUAGCUUCUUCCCACUAACAUAUUUCUUUCUAAUUAUGUUCUGGUUUGAUUAGACAAUAAUUAGCACUUGGCUUAGUAUGACGAAACCUUUAAGCCAAUUCAAACGGUCCAGGUAUGUGGAGUAGUGUCAUCUUUCCUCUUAGUUUGAUUUAACAUGUUUACAAAGUCACCGGAUUUUACCAACUUGCAAAAUAGACAGAGGGGAAGAGAAAAAAAGAAAGAGACACAAAAAGGUGGGGAUUGGGAAAAAGCCCACGAGAGCAAAAGUUGAAGUGUUCAUAUGGACAUGAAAAGUGACUUUUAGAUGAAGAGGUAGAAAGAAAAUACAGCCAAUUUCAUACAAAUUUAGUACAAUUUUGUUGGAUGAGUCUCUCCUGCUGAAUUCCUCUUCUUGAUUUAAUUAGGUCUAGGAUCCUAAUAUAAAUUUUGUUGUUUCCCCUUCUUGCAUUCUUGAUUUAUCCUGUUUGCUUGAGCCAUUCAUAGCUUUGGGACCAACUUCAAUUGUAUAUGUAAUUUAAGAAGACGCUCGACUUGCCCUUGUCUUGCCCGUUUGAAAUCCAUGUAUGAGAGGUUGGGUUUCAGAAUUUGUGUUAUUUUGGACUUGAAACCAAGAUGUUAUAUCAAUUCGAAUCACGCUUAAGUCCAUCAAAUAAUGACUCAAUUAAACUUUAGUCAAAUUUAAUUAAAAAAGUGCAGUCCAAUCCAGCUCACCACACAAGGCUUAAAUCCAUAAUAAGUAGAAAAUUAAGGGAAUAUAUGCCUAUUACCCAAACAUUUACUAUAAUGUUUAGGUUUUUUUAUUAAUUUUAUAGAAAAAGAAGUAAUAUUUCCAAUGAAAUGUUGAUACAAGUGUCUGUUGUCUCCAUAACACAUACAACCAGCCGCAACAGAACACCUAAUUUCAUCAAGACAUGUCACUCUCCUGUAUACAUGCAGCUACUAGCUGGCGCCUAAAGGAUAAUGUCCAGGCCAACUGCAGACUUUGAUCAACAUGCAGCACAAAAAUCCAAUCCAAUCUUCAUGAAGUAGAUGUCUCAUGAACCAAAUUUAUUUUUUUUUGGUUUUUGUGUAUGUGAUGUGGGAUUCUAUGAAUCUCUUAGAAAUUUGAUCCACAUUUUGUUAGUCAGUGAAUUAUAAACCAAAAGUGUUCACACGUGAAAUUGAGACAAAAUCACUUUUAAAAAUGAAAUGGUAUGUGUACAUGACACGUCGCUUUGGUGGCCCACUCACCUCCCCAUAUUUUCUCAACAUUUUCUUGCACUACCACUUGCCUAAGAUUGAUGGGUAUCUAUUUUCAAACCACUUGCCUAGUAUGAACAUGAACGUCAAUCAGAAGAACACAUGGAAAUAAAAGUUGAUUAGGUUGUUGGAGGAAAGUUUAGGGUUUUCUGGUAUUCAACUUGAAUUCGAUUUUUUAAACUCAACAAUAAAAUUUAAGUUUAAAAUAAAGAAAAUCUGUUUAGUAACCUUAUUUUUAAAAAUUCAAACUCAAGAACAACUAAAAAAUACUUCAAUUAUUAAAAACAAAAAAUACUUCAUUAGUAUUUCAGUAUACCUGCAGCUAAUAGCUGGAGCCUAAAGUAAUGAGAGGAUGAAAGAUGCUUGUGCUUCAAGGUGUGAGAGGAUGAGAGGAUGCAAAAAAUAACCUCUAGUUAUUUUACGUUGUGAAACUAGAUGGAGAAUAGCAGAGACUGAACUUUGAUAUCUUUCUUAGAUUUUUCUUAUAUUUCUUGGAUAUAAUUUCAUAUCUUUUUGUAAUACCUAUUUAGAAAGGAUACAAACUCCUCUAUAAUUUCAUACACACUCUUAGAUUCAUAUUUUUUUUUUUGAGGUAUUGCACAUAUUUGAAUCCAUGUAUCUCUUGGAUUGCACCUCUUAAUCAAAAUCAAGAGGUACCACUUAAGAGUGUCUUUUAACUUAUAUUCAUGUUUAUGAAUUGCUCUUAACGUUCAUAUAUUUAACUCAAACAUAUAGGCAUCAAGAGAUACAGCUUAAGAUUGACAAGUUGCCUGGAAAUCGCACCUCUGUAUCAAACGACUGGACAUUUUUCUGAGACGAUCAGUCGCAUUAUACCGAGACAACAAACUGAAGUUUCUAUUUGGAACGAUCGGUCGCUUCUUAUCGACAACCGGUCGCCUGCCUUAUAUUGUUGAAAAUUCUCCAACAUCCUCACAUCAUCAUAAUUGUGUGUGUGUGAGAGAAAUUCCCCUUCUAUGUAGUUUAUACUAUUGUUUAUACUAUAAAAAUAAAAAUAAAAAUAAAAAUCAUGCCUUUCAUGAAUUUUCUAUUGGCGGGAAAUACACUUCCAACUUUUGGCUGCAACCUCAGGACCAUGAUAUUCAUCUCCACUUUAUAAUUUAUAGCCGUACUGCAAUUAGAAUCUUAAAGAUUAAUUGGCCCAAAGGCCUCACUCGAAGUAACAACAGUUAAUUAAGCCCAAGUUUAACUCCAUGGCAAUUUUUGAUGAUGCAUGGCAUGUUACAUCGUGACUUGUGACGCAACCACGGACGUCAAGUUAUAGCGUCAAAGCCCACGUCGUCACAUUCCAGAGACUGUCACCGCCCGCAAUAAUAAUUAGACAGAAAAAAAAAACCAAGGAUGUGAAGAAGAGUUAUUUACAUUAACACUUUCAAAGAUUUUCGGUUUUUGCACCAAACACUUUAAAGUUUUAGAAAUUAUAACACAUUAUUAGGUUUUAAAUUGUUUUCACAAAAUCAACAGGGGGUGUGUUAGUGUAUAUAAUUCAAUGAACCUAGCUCAUAAUUUGGUUUUAAAGAAAACAUAAUUUUAUUAGAUUAAGUGGCCUUUUCCCUUUUCUCCCCCUCUAACAUGAGUGAUGAUGUUGAUACAAAGGCAGCGCAUGCAUAUUCGGGUGACACUGAUUUGGUAAUGGUGGGAUUUUAAAAGUAAUGUUUUUUCUGAUGGUCCUGGAAAGUCAUGGUUUUCCUUUCAAAAACAUAUCUUAAUUAGGCUAAACAUCUCUAUCCAUUUAUGGGGUUAACUUAAGCUUUUCUGGUUUGUCUUGACGGAGUAAAGGCUUUGAAGCCUUACUAUUUUAAUGAUGGAUUCAGUGCCCACCAGCAGCACAGCUCUCUCUGUUUUAUUCAUUUUGAAUUGACCCUAACUUUAUGACACUUUGUCUCGCUUAGCUCACCAAUUUUUUCACAUCAUAUCAACUUCAAUCUUGAUAAAGAAAGAACAAACCAUAUGUUUUUUGGCCGGUUCAAAAUUAAAUACGAAAAAGCCAACAUGAAAUGAAAGCCCACACAUACACACAGCAGUAACACAGAUUCGCAUAUUCAGAUAUGUCAGGGAGAGAGAGAGAGAGAGAGAGAGAGAGAGAGAGAGAGAGAGAGAGAGAGAUCAAAGAAAACCCAGCAUUCUAUGAAAGCCAUGAAAAAACUACACCACCACCAUUGAAAUUACCAGAAAGAAACAGAAAAACAAUUGCAUGCCUAGACUGGGUAAACGUGGUUGCUGAUGACCUUGUUGCUGGAGUUUGAUGAUGUGGUGGUUUCAGAGGCUCCAGCAGAAGCUGAAGGACUAUUACUAGUAACAUCUGAAACAGAGGAAAAGCAUUGGACAAUUUGAUGAAACAUCAUCGUCUUUACUAAUUUCUUCCUCACCGGGCGGACACUUCCAGGUUUUGAUUUGAACGACUGCCAUGGCUCAGCCUUGCUUUGAUCUUCAGAUGGGAUCAAGUUCAGCUUCAUGGGCUCCUUUGGGUGGUGCUCUGUUUUGGAGCAGAGGAGGUCCUCUUCCCCAUCUGGGUUCAAGUGCUUCAACGCCCUCUCUGCAUCUGCAGUUUCCUUCAUUGCCAUCUCUCUCUUUCUCUGUCUGUGAAUGUGUGCUUCCUUCCUUCUGUGUUGGUGUGCUUAAAUGGAUGUCUUUUUAGGCCCUGUUUGUUACAUAGGAUUGGCUAGAACAGAAUUAAUAAUAAGAAUUGUCUAGGAUAGGCUUGGCUUGGAUUAAGUCCUAUCCUAUGUUUGGUGGAGUAGUGGCAUCUUUCUUCUUAGUCUGAUUAACACCGUGUUUAAAAAGCUACUUACCUGAUUUCAACAUCAUCUCCCUUUACAACUUUAUCUUGAAUAUUAUUCUGUCAUGCUUAUUCCAAUUUCCCAACAAGCCUUCUUCAAUUGUAUGCCACUCCUUUCUUUCUUUCUUUCUUUCUUUCUUUCUCUUUUGUUUUGCGUCGGUUUGAUGUGGACAAUUACAAAAGAAACUAACGAAGUUGAAAGAGAUACCACAAAAGCACUCGACAAGAUGGGAGCCCAAACAGUAGUUCAUAUGUCACCUUUUUUUUUAAUCUCUAGUGAUUUAUAAUUGCAUUAUUUCCACAACCUUGAGAACUUUGAAUUAAGUCAGAAAAUUAAAUUGCUAAUGGCUGCAAUCAAAAGGCUAAUUCAGAAUUAGUGCUGGUAACCCUUUUUUUGUAGAAGCAUGAAUGUUUUUCAAUUGAUGCUAAAGAUUAUGUGUAAAACAAAGAAUGUAAAUAUGAGUCUGUUCUGUAGAAGAUAAGCUAUGCUUAUCAUUAGGUAAUGUUUAGAGGCAAAGGAGAUCACUCAUAUAUUUACAUAUAUAAUAAUGACUUUUUCUGCAUGCAUGUCCAUUCUCUUUAUUUGAUUGUUUGUGGAGAAAAUGUGUUUGUUUAUGGUCUGAAGUCAAAGACUUGUAAAUCUGAGAGGUUCCCAAGAGCCAAAGAUUUGUACUAGUCAUUUUUAACCUAGAAGCUGCCCCUUGUGGUAGAUUUUGCCAUAUGUGACUUAGAGCUAGGAGAAGGCCAAUUAAUCUGGGGCUCUCUUUGGUUAGGGCCCCAGGCUAGGCUAGGCUGCAUGUAAGCCACUUUAACUAAAGUGUUGCGAUUUGAAAAAAAAUAUGAAAACAAGGCACUAGUAAAGUUUUAUUGACUUUCAAACCAAUAAUCCCUCCAUUAAAAUAAAAGCAUGACUUGGGUUUACACAGGAGAGGAGACCCUGCUGCAAGAACAAUUUUUUGACGACAAGCAAUAAACUUAUAGUUAGAAGGAAGAUUGGAACGCCUGGAAAUAUUUAAAGUAAUGUUUGUAGUUGUGGAGAGGCAUUAUAUUAAAAUUAUUGUUCAUUUAACAAUAUACUUAUUAAAGAAAAGAAGAUAAGACAAACUAACGAGAAGAGAGCGGCUGAAGAAGAAGGGGAGAAAGUAAUUUUUAACUCUUAAACCACUGAGAAGAAUAUCCAUGCAUGCAGGGCGGGCGGGGGGGGCCCCGAACACCAUUUUCUAGGGAAAGAAGAAAGAUCGAAAUUAAGCUGUAAAAAAAUUUAAAAAAAUAAAGAAAAAAGAGGCUCCUAGUCACUCAUUGGUGACUUUUGACCAAAUGAUUUGGUGACACUGAUGAUGAUGGGAUUUUUAAUAAUAUCAAAAGAAAACAAUAUCAUGAAACGCCAGGAGAUGGUAAAUUUAAAAGUAAUGUUUUUCUGAUGGUCCUGCAUUACAAUUUGAUGGAUGGAAAGUCAUGGUUUUCUUUCAACAACAUAUCAUAUGAUUAAUUUGGCUAAACAUCUCUAACCAUUUAUGGGGUUAAGCUUUUCUGGGUUGUCUUGACGGCGUGAAGGCUUGAAGCCUCUUACUAUUUUCAGUUGUAAAAAAUUCUCUUUAUUUUAUGGGGUUUUAUAAUAACAUGUGAGCUGAUGGCUUGAAAGAUUGUACAUGGACCUGUGAUGGAAAACAACUGACAAGCAAACAAGGCCAGUCAAAAAAGUCACAAGGAAUUCACUUGAUUUGGUGGAAUUAUGGUGAUGGUGGAACUUGAGUUAGAAAAUUAAAUUGCUAAUGGCUAAUCUGAGAGGUUCCCAAGAGCCAAAGACAUGUACUAGUCAUUUUUAACCUAGAAGCUGCCCUUUGUGGUAGUUUUUGCCAUAUGUGACCUAGAGCUUGGAGAAGGCCAAUUAAUCUGGGUCCCUCUUGACAAAACUGUUGGGAUUUGGAAAAAAUAUGGAAGACCCUGAUAAUUAACCAAGGCACUAGUAAAGUUCUUUCUGACUUUCAAACCAAUCUUCCCUCCAAAAAGAAAAUCUCAUGACAAUGGUAUCUUUCUUUCUAUGAGAAUAUGACGUUGUUGAGAACGUGCUUGUGAAAAAGCGGUUUUUCAUACAAGUCAUGUCACGGCACAAACAAUUUGGUAUCUUUCUUUCUGUAAGGAAAAAGGUCCAAAUGCCAAUGCAUUCACAUCGUAUAGGCCAGGCAGUAGAUGAGAUUUACAAUGGUAACUAUUCAAUUGCCAGUGCCACACACACAUGACGCUACCCAAAGCAAUCAAGCUGUUUUCCACUCUCUUUUUUUCUUUUUUUUUUCUUUCUGGUUUUGUUGGAUUAGUGUCCUGCUCAAUUCCUCUUCUUGAUUUGAUUUGAUUAGGUGUAUGAUAUGAUCCCAUAUAUUUACUAUAAUAUUCAUUAGUAUUGAAAAAGAAAAAAAGAGGUAUAAUGUAUUAAUGUUCAAGAGUUAAGUUCAUUAGCAUGCAUGAGUGUCAACUGUCAAGCAGCAGCAGCAGCAACUAACACGCAGAAGGUCCAAUUUCAUCCAGACCUGUCACUCUGUUCUGCAUAUCUCUGUAGCUACUAGCUGGCGCCUAAAGGAUGAUGUCCCAGAGCAAUUGCAGACUUUGAUCACAUGUAUCACAACAAUCCAGUCCAGUCCAAUCCAAAUGAUCAUGAUUAAACUAAAAAAUGGUACCAUUAAUUUAGAACUCUCUGCUUAAUUUAUUUGUUUUGAUGGCUUUGUCCACCUAAUUAAAGUUGAAUUUCACAAAUCCAACCCUUUCCAAAAACUGGUUUCCUGGGUUGCUUUAGUUUUAUAUAUGAGAAUUUUAUUUUAUUUUUUAUUUUGGGUGUGUAUCUGUCUGAUAUGGGCUUCUAUGAAUCUCAUCGAAAAUUGAUGCACAUUUUGUUAAAAACCAGUGAAUCAAAAGCGACAAGUGUUGACACAUUGAAUCAUUUACUAAAAGCAAAGCAAGAACAAUCAGACCGUAGCCACAAAAUACUAUCAAAAGCAGAGACCUUGAACUAUUAAAUUAAAAACAGAGUCGAAAAGCCAAAAACAAAGAAUUAAGUGGACUUGGAAAGAGAGAGCAAAAGAGAAGGUGCUAAAUUAUAUGUAUUACAACGGGUUUGGUGGGUAAUGGGUAUGUGAUUAAUUGUUCUUCUUUGGUGUUGGUGGUGGUGGUGGUGGUGGUGUUUGGUGUUUUAGGCUUGUGGGGUUUGGGAGGCCACUCCAACCGCUGAUGAUGAGGAAGGAGCAGAGUGAGAAACCACAGAGCCAAAGUAGACUACUAAACGAUCAAAAAUCAUGCGUUUCACUGAUUUUCUCUUGGCGGGAAAUACACUUGCAGCUUUUGGCUUGAACCAUGAGAGUUGGUGUGGCUCUUCCAGGACCAUGAUCUUCUUCAUCUCCACUUUCUCUGUUGUGUCCAGCUUCAACUUCACCAUUUUCUCUGCCUCUUUCUUGUUUUUCCCAUCUGGGUUCUUCAGCUUGAUCUUCAUCAGCCCCUUCUCUGCCCCUUCAAUAUUUGCCCUCACUGCCAUUUUGCUCUCUCUCUCUCUCUCUCUCUCUCUCUCUCUCUCUCUCUCUCUCUCUCUCUCUUUCUUCUUGUGUGUUAUGAUGUGAUGUGUAUGUGUUUUUGUUUGUGGGUGGUCUCUGUCUCUCUGUGUGUGUUUAAAUAAAAUAAUAAAGAACUGUAGGUGAGAGGGAAUUGGUGAAAUCGGAAGGCAAAUCCAAGAUCAACUCAAGAAAGAACAUACAUGGGAAUGAGGCAAAAUCACUUAUCCAAAAUGAAAUGGGAUGUGGGAUGUGGGAUGUGCAGGUGACACGUGGUGUUGGUCGUCCACUUCCCAUAUUUUCUCAACAUUUUCUGGCACUACCACUUGCCUAGAUUGAUUGGUAUUGAUUGGUAUUUUCAAACCAACUUGUCUCUGGAAAAGUUAGAACUAAAAAGCACAUGUCAAUAAGAAUAUAUGGAAAGAAAAAUGUGGUUAAAGUCAGAGGAAAGUUACACUUACUAUACUUCACAUGAUAUUGAUUAGUGAAAAAUGGUCAUUGAUUUAUAUCUUUAUUGAUUUAUUGUGUAUCAAAAUGAAGCUUGAAGAAUGUUGACAAGUUUGAAUUGAUUCAGAAACAUUCUUUUGACCAAAGAGGAAGCUUCCUAGACAUUUCACCAUUAAGGUAUACUAAGAAUUAUCAUGGUUGAUAACAUCUGAAGAAGUCAUUGACUAGGUCCUCUCUUCACUUUUUUAUUUUCUUCCUCCAUCUUCUGAGUGAUUUGCUUUAUGACCAUCAAACCAGUCUCCUGUCAAUUAUGAACAAUGAUUUUGAUAAACAUAGGAGAAAAGUUUUUCUUAGUGACUGGUUAUGAUUUGCUCUGCUCUGUUAAGACCUGCCUUUGAUUAGGGUUAUGGAAAAUUGGACAUGUCACUAAAUAGAAUAGAAGUGUAGAACAGUAAAAGCUGGUGCUUCUAGUUUUUCUUUUUUGUAAUUUGUAUGAGCUGAAGGGAAAGUAAAAAAGAAAGAUGAUUCAAAGACAGAUUAGUUAGACAGCAAAUCUAACUGCGAAAAGGUUUAUUAAAAUACUCAUAACUUGACAUUUUACAAUCUCUCUCAUUCUCAUCAUAGUUUUUUCCCUUUGGUUUGUGAGGAAGAUCCAUACAUACUCUCGGAAACAAUUUAUUUUGAUGAUUCAACAAGCCAAUAGCCCAAAAGUAGCAAGAUGCACUUGAAUUAUCUACCUAGCAUCAUUUGAUAAAAGAUUGUUCCUUUCAACUGUUCUAACGUUGCACAGCUCAUCAACUGAGUCCCCUCUCUCAAAAACUGCAGCAGCCCCCAUACCCGAGCCUGCAACAAAGGACACACUCUCAGUCACGUCUUAUAUUAUCACAAGCUCUCAGUAACCAGGAAGAAGAUGUGUGUGUGUGUGCGAGAGAGAGAGAGAGAGAGAGAGAGAGAGAAACCUAUGCACAUGGAUAUCACACCAAAGCGGUGAUCCUUGCCACGACGCUUCAUCUCAUUCAAUAGAGUUGCAACACAGCGAGCACCUAACACACAUAGAUAUCACACUUCUAUUCACCAAACUUAUAGAAAAAUAAUAAUGUGAUUGCAUUUCCUCUUUGUUCACUAGUUAUAUUAGUAAUUAAACCAGAUGAUAGCAUUAAAGGAAAUGUACAUGCCUGUUUGUGUCAUCACAUAUCCACUUGAAUUCAUAGCUUAGCAGCAAAAUAUGAGGGAAUGUGUAAUUUAAGACAAUUUAAUAUACCUGUAGCGCCCAAAGGAUGCCCUAGAGCAAUAGCGCCUCCAUUAACAUUGACUUUUUCAGGAUCAAGCUCCAAUUUCUUGCAACAAUAUACAUAUUGAGAUGCAAAUGCCUAUAGGAAACCAAUUAAACAGCAUAGUUAAGAUAAUUCAAGCCAUACCAUAUUUAUCAUGAAUGUUAUGGAAAUCAUUAGCACUAUACUACCUCAUUUAUCUCAAAUAGAUCAAUAUCAUCAAGCUCCAGACCAGCAGAUUUCACCGCAACUGGAAUUGCAGCAGCUGGACCUAUUCCCAUGACAGCGGGGUCAACACCAACAGCAGCAAAACUCCUGCAUGGAAAGGAGAAAAUUGUAAUCCAAGGUACAAAUCACGCUUCUGUUAGUUCACGAACAAACUUAUCACAAGGAAAUAACACCAAUUAACACUGACAAGAAAAUUAAUAAAUGACCAAACCUCAAGCAGCUCAUCUCUCCACUUAUGGUUCAUUAAUUUGCUAUGAUUUUUUUGUUUCGAUAUUAUAGUCAUUUCAAGAGGCAUAAUAAUCUUCAAAGUUUAAGUGAUGAGUUAAAUGUUAUUUCACGGAAGUAUAAAUUUCAUACCUGAAAACACCAAGAAUAGGAAGCCCCUUCUGCAUAGCUAAACUUCUCUUCAUGAGGAGAACUGCUCCAGCACCAUCACUCACCUGGCUAGCAUUUCCUAAGAGACAAAAACAAUGAACUGAUUCACAAUGCUUGAUACAAGUCAAAAACAUCUCACUCAAAGGAAAAGUUGUGUACAAUUAAAUGAAGAUACUGUCAUGGUUUACAAGCAGCGGGCAUCAUGAAAAUCGAGUGAUUAAAUACCUGCAGUUGUAGACCCAUCUGCUUUAAACGCAGGCUUCAGCUUUGCCAAAUCAUUCAUGUUUGCAUUUGGCCGGAUCCCAUCAUCCACAGAAAUUGUAACAGGCCUCUCCUCUCCAGUUUUCGGAUCCACAAUCUAUGCAUACAAAUAGUUAAUUACAGAAAAAUGAAAGACAGUCACCCAGGAGACCAAAUUUCUGUGUUUACCUUAGUAGAUACAGGGACAAUUUCAUCUUGGAAUUUGCCUGAUGCUGUUGCUGCAGCAGCACGGCUAUGAGAUUCAACCUAUACAAAUAAAUUCAUGAAACUACAGCUUCAGCAUUAUGAGUUUAUCAAAUAGCUAAUGCCUGUCAACAGAUAGAAAACUCACAGCAGCUUUGUCUUGCUCCUGCCGUGUCACACCAUAUCGCUGUGCAACAUUUUCAGAGGUAAUACCCAUGGGAAGAAGGCAGUCACGGGCUUGUGCAAAGAUAUCUACCUGUUAACAGCAUAUAUUCAUCUCAAAAGAACAUUCUUCAUGUAAAACAAAUUAUAAAAUAAACAACUAGAGAUGGAAUAUACUUUAGGGUUAAUUUUGUUCAUCCUGCCAAGUUUAUCAACUGACAUGGACUCCAAUCCAGCUGCAACACCUGCAUUCAAAACAAAGGUCAAUUCCAAUGAUGGAGACCACCUAAAAUAAUACUUAAUCCAGAAUAUUCUCUCACCAAUUUCAUAGAAUCCGGCUUUUAUAGAAGCAGCUACAUCAGCAACUGCCUGAAGGCCUGAUGAACAUUGCCUGUUGACGGUUCUGAUGGGAACCGUAUCUGAGCAAAACAGAGGAAUCAUACAACUUUAGACUAAAACAAAUAUAUAAAUAAAUUACUUAAAACACCAAAUAUAGUCUAAAACUUACCAGGGAAACCAGCAUAAAAUGCAGCCAUCCUGCAUUCAGUUGCUCUAAGUGAGCCAGGUGCCAUAACCGUACCAACAACUAUAUCCCCUACUUCACCUGGGUUCAAAUUUGUCCUCUCAAUUAGUGCCUGCACAAAAAGUAAAACGAAUGAAAAUUCAGAAUAAGAUAACUACCACAUAAUUAUGAUGGAAUUCAAAGAAACAUAUUCAUUCCUCUGGAAUUCAGUUGAGAAGUGUAUGCUAACCUUUAAAACAGGAGCCAGUAAAUCAUCAGGUGAAGUAUCCUUAAAGCCUCCUCGCUUUGCUUUGCAAAUGGCAGUACGGUAGGCUCUAUUUAACAUGAUUUUACAGCAAGGUUUAACAUAGAGAAGGCAUAAACUCCACCCAAAUAUUCAAAAAAAAUAAAGGAAUUAAAGAACUUUCUCAGAUCAGUUAAUUACUCACGCCACAAUCACUACAUCGUCUCCAAAAGCAGCUGUUCUGUGGUACGCAGCGCUAUCCCCAGCAGCACAUAUUGAAGCCUAACAAACAAAUUAUGAAGAAAAAAGAAUCAGCUACAUAACAUAAAGCAAAAUUAGGUACAAUCAAAGUUUCUAUCUUUUUUUUAUGAAACUGAAAAGGAAGAGAAUUGAAGAGAAAAUAAGCUGGAAACAAGAACACCAAGUAAAGAGUCACUACAAUUAAAUCCGAUUAUCGAAAAUGGAUAUAAACUUACAGACAGGGCAGCAGAUUGAUGGGUUUCAGGAGGAGCAGCGGAAAAAGAACAAUUGGGCAACAGAUGCUGAAGCAGAACACGCUGUCUGUUAUGCGCUUUCUCCAUCUCUCUCUCUCCAAAAUGAAUUGCAGAAAGCUCUUUCAAUCAAUCAGACACUGUGGAGCAGUAACACAUUAAUCAAUGGUUUAUGCGUUUUUAUAGUUGAAAUGAGGUUGGCCUCUUGAAUUUCCAAGUAAAUAUUGACCACAAGACGAACCCACUUAGUCAACUGCAAAGGGAAAGGCACUGAAACAUUUGCUCGGUGGCUGCCACUGGGGAAAAUACGAGGAAACAAUACCCCACGUUUUUCACAGCAACCAAACGUUUGGCUUGCUCAGUUGCUGCUUCUCUCUCUAGUCUCUACCAACUUUUUAUUUUAUUUUUUUGUGGUGCCAUGCCAUAAUCUUUUCAUUUCCAUUUGAUUGGAAAACCAUACGAAUUCCCAUUUGAGGCCACUUUUAAAACCAUUAUGAAUCCUUUUCUUUUCUAGUAGAAAACAAAGCAAAAUCAUUGACUGAAGGCUGCGCUGCAAGUUCGCUUCUUUUUCCUUUAUUUUCGCCUUUUGGAGACAUCAUUAUCAAAGGUUGGUGAACGCAGGUCUUCGGUGACCAGAUAAUUUCCGAUGCGCGUUUCUUUUUUUUACACUGAGCAUCAAUAAUAAGAAAAGAAAAGGGGGCGGAUAAACCAAAGCUCUAUGAAUUUCUGUGUAUAUACAUAUGGACAAACGUUUCUCCAGCAAAAAACAUGGACACCAAACUUAGCAGAAAACUGUAGAUGGUCUCUUGCUUGCAUGCUAGUAUGACCCGGUGUUUCUUUUACAAAAGAAUA
rnacentral:lncRNA from 1 species